CCGGAUUCGCUGCGACGACAUUGUCGCGGAGCUUCCCCUCAUCACCUAUCCUGGCACGUCGGGCUCUGCUGGAACUUCGCGUGCUUCCCGCGCGCAAGGUACGACCGUCGCUCCUGCUGCCGUCGCUGAUCCAACGCCCAUUCCGAGGCGCCGCCGGCCGCGGGGCCCUCGUCGUUCCCGCGGGUCUUCGUCCCUUCCGGCCCAUGACCUGCGCCACUUUCUGUCGGGAUCCUCGAAGCCAGCCCCUUAAGUUCGUCCGGGGGACGUCCGCGACCGCGACCACGUUCAUCCGGGCCGUGGAUCCGCCUCCAUGGGACGACGUCUGGGGCGCGCCUCGUUCACCUUCUCUCCUAUUUCUUUUUUAUAUCCGGAAUUAGCUAUUGUUGUGCGUUGUGUACUUUUUCCCGCCGUGCCACCGGCCGCUUGUAGCACUUGGUUUUAUUUAAUGAAAAAUGCCUUUGCCUCUUUUUUUUUUUUUUUUUUUGACUGCCUUCGCACGUCCGUGCAGAUUCGCGCAUCACGGCGUCUUCUGUCGACGUUGCCCGCAUCCUUCUCGAGCUCUGCUCCCGUCCCUCGUGUCGGGCCCCCCUAUCGCCGGCUCAAACGUCGCCCUGCUACGUCGUUUCGUUGGUGGGGUCUGCCUGUCGGCCCAUCUGGACUCCCCCACCGCGCACCUCUUGCGUCGUUCGGUCGCUGGACUCCGCCGAGCUUACUACGGGCGCCUCUCCCCAGCUCCGCCGACCGCGUCGGUCCCUGACCUUCGCCCUCGCCCCCGACGGGCCGGUUCUUGGGCUCCGUCGGGGGCUUCCCGGCCCAUCUCAUUCUGACCAACCCGGGUACGCGNN
rnacentral:lncRNA from 1 species